rnacentral:rRNA from 1 species
AGUGAACGCUGGCGGUAGGCCUAACACAUGCAAGUCGAACGGCAGCACAGUAAGAGCUUGCUCUUACGGGUGGCGAGUGGCGGACGGGUGAGGAAUACAUCGGAAUCUACUUUUUCGUGGGGGAUAACGUAGGGAAACUUACGCUAAUACCGCAUACGACCUACGGGUGGAAGCAGGGGAUCUUCGGACCUUGCGCGAUUGAAUGAGCCGAUGUCGGAUUAGCUAGUUGGCGGGGUAAAGGCCCACCAAGGCGACGAUCCGUAGCUGGUCUGAGAGGAUGAUCAGCCACACUGGAACUGAGACACGGUCCAGACUCCUACGGGAGGCAGCAGUGGGGAAUAUUGGACAAUGGGCGCAAGCCUGAUCCAGCCAUACCGCGUGGGUGAAGAAGGCCUUUGGGUUGUAAAGCCCUUUUGUUGGGAAAGAAAAGCAGCAGGUUAAUACCCCGCUGUUCUGACGGUACCCAAAGAAUAAGCACCGGCUAACUUCGUG